rnacentral:lncRNA from 10 species
AGAGGCUGCCGGGAACGCGGGCCCAGAGGCGGGGCGAGCGCGCGCGGGGCGGAAGUCGGCCACCUUCCUCCGUCCCGGCCGUUAGCCCAGCCAAGCCCAGCCAAGCCCAGCCAAGCCCCGCCGAUCGCGGGCACCGGAGCCAGCCCCGCAGCGGUGCGGGAGAUUGUAAGGAAGCGGUGGCGGCUGGUGAAGCAAGUCUCACAUGUCGGCGUUCUUGGCCAAUGGAUACAAAGAUAAAGAAAAUGUUGCCUUUUUCUAGGAACUGUCAGAAAUCCUCAUGCCUUUCAAGACUUCUGUGAAUGACUUGAAUUUUUUAUUCCCUGCCUAGGGUCUGUGAACGAGGCCUGUCUCUUCCCUGGGGUUUCUUUCCAUGGCCUUUAUUUCUCCUCUUCCAGUGGGAGUUUUGCAGGCUCUUCUCUGUGGAAACUUCACGAGCGUUGGCUGGGCCUCGGCUUCGCUGGAGUGUACUCCAGGGUGAAGGCAGAGUGGGAUUUGAGACCCAGGUAGUGGAGGAAGCGAAGGAAGUGAACGCUGAAUGUGACGCAUUUCUGAAGAGCUCAGCUGUCACCGGGCAUAGCCUGGAAGCCCCAAGUCUGUUCUGACUUUGCCUGGCUGUCUCCUUGACCCGCCUCCUAGAUCAUUGUCCUUGAUGUCCAGGCUGGGUCAUUUAAAAUAGAGAUGCAAUCAGGAAGGUUGGGGGACUUGGGACUGUGGCUGAAUUGAGACCUUGCUGAUGUAUUCAUGUCAGCACCUGAGUCACAGCCCAGGUGCCCGGAAGCAGCCUCUUCGCAUAGGCAGUGAUUUGCGAUUACUUUAAAGCUCACCUUUUUUCUUCCCCUCUCUGUUCGCUGCUGUCAGCAUAAUGAUUGUGUUCCUUCCCUAUGGGAUCCAUCUGUUUUGUAAACAAUAAAGCGUCUGAGGGAG